CGCGGGAUGGAGAAGUGGUAUCUCGUCUGGCUCAUAACCAGAAGGUCGCGGGUCCGAUUCCCGCUCCCGCAA
rnacentral:tRNA from 1 species